AGUGACAUAAGAGAACAAAGAGUCAACAGGACAAAGGACCUUAUGAAUGUGCUUUCUAUCGUUCUUCCCCUUCUAAAAGUGGACCUGAGCCAUAGGACCAUGACUCAGGACGACAUGGCUUGACGACUCCUGGCUGUUCCCGUCCCCAGUCCACCUGGCCGUGCUGCUGAUCCAGUUUCUGCUGUUCUGCCUGCGGCUAUGGAACCCUGACCUGUUCACCAGAUCUGCUACCUUGUCCAGGACAUGCUGUUUCAAGCCUCCCCGCAUGAAAAUAAUACAUUUGAUAUUAUGGCAUAAAUACUAUAGUAUUCACGGGAACACCGGCCUCCCGUGUGGCGCAGUGGUCUAAGGCACUGCAUCGCAGUACUAACUGUGCCGCUAGAGAUCCUGGUUUGAGUCCAGGCUCUGUCGCGACCGGGAGACCCAUGGGGUGGCGUACAAUUGGCCCAGCGUCGUCCAAGUUAGGGGAGGGUUUGGCUGUCAGUGAUCUUCUUGUCCCAUCACGCUCUAGCGACUCCUGUGGAUAUAUAUGUGUUAUAAUAUAUGUUGACACGGUUGCCAGGUGUACAGUGUUUCUUCCGACACAUUGGUGCGGCUAGCUUCUUGGUUAAGCGGCAUUGUGUCAAGAAGCAGUGCGGCUCGGCUGGGUUGUGUUUCGGAGGACACGCGGCUCUCGACCUUCGCCUCUCCCAAGUCGGUACGGGAGUUGCAGCGAUGGGACAAGACUGUAACUACCAAUUGGAUAAAACAAAAUUUUGGAGAAAAAAGGGUAAAGAUUUUUUUAAAUACAAAAUAAAAACUUGUAGGGAACACAAUAUAUGGUCUGUACUUGGCAUGUAGGAUUCUCACUUAUGUGUGACACAAAUUGAGAUAUGGGGAGGGUAAUGAGCAGGGUAUCUGCAAAUGAAAUACUGUAGUAUUUACUAUAAUAAAAAAACCUGUAGUGUUUCUGCA